UUACUAUUUGAUUCUUCUCACUUUUGUUUGUAUUUUCACUUGCUUUGGCAAUGUAAACAUAUGUUUCCCAUGCCAAUAACUGAAUGCCAUUGAAUUGAAAUUGAAUUGAGUCUCAGUGCUCAGUGAGAGAGAGAGCCUCAUGGACAAACUCAAUGGCAGACCUGAACAGCUGGAGAUCCACUCAGAGUCGGUCUCUUAAUGCAGUCCUGCCACACAUAAUGAACUGAGGCCCUGCACAGCAGGAUACAUUUUACUCAGGAGCACACAAGUAGUCUCGGCUAGCUAGCUAGCAUCUACUGCUACCUCCUAGCCACACAACAGAGCAACAACAAACCCACACUCAUCUCAACAAUCUGCCUUGAAGUCUGUUGAGUGUCUGUUAUGACAAUGUGCUGAUAUAAAAGUUAUUUGCGGAUCUUCCUUUCAUGGUUUUUAAAACAACAAUUGGCCAAUAAAGCAGCAGAUCAAAAGCUAACAGCCUACGCUAGCUCCACGCAUCACCUCAUUCUCCUCAGGGGGAGAUUUGGCACCUCACUGCAAAGCCCGGCAACACAAUUACCUCAGCCUAAACCUGUCAGCAGACUAUUACAGCAGCUCGUGUGUGUGUUCGUGUGUGUGUGUCAACACACCAUUACAGCCCAAGCCACCUAUUAUGGGGAUGGGGAAUGGAGUCCAAAGCCAUUGUAGUGAAAAGGUGUUGUCAGAUAUAGGCUGGCGGAAUGUGGCUACAGGGUAUUUGAUGGUGGAGGUUGGCCUAUAGAGCAAUCAUGGCUUCUAAAAACAUGGUUAAAUCUGUAGGUUCUCCUCAGCACCCUUAAUACUGAACACUGAUGGUAUGGUGCAGCUGAUGGAAGGAUAUGGAAGAACACUGAUGGUAUGGUGCUGCUGAUGGAAGGUUCUGGAAGAACACUGAUGGUAUGGUGCUGCUGAUGGAAGGAUAUGGAAGAACACUGAUGGUAUGGUGCUGCUGAUGGAAGGAUAUGGAAGAACACUGAUGGUAUGGUGCUGCUGAUGGAAGGAUCUGAUCUGGAAGAACACUGAUGGUAUGGUGCUGCUGAUGGAAGAACACUGAUGGUAUGGUGCUGCCGAUGGAAGAACACUGAUGGUAUGGUGCUGCUGAUGGAAGGUUCUGGAAGAACACUGAUGGUAUGGUGCUGCUGAUGGAAGGAUAUGGAAGAACACUGAUGGUAUGGUGCUGCUGAUGGAAGGAUAUGGAAGAACACUGAUGGUAUGGUGCUGCUGAUGGAAGGAUCUGAUCUGGAAGAACACUGAUGGUAUGGUGCUGCUGAU
rnacentral:lncRNA from 1 species